AACGAACGCUGGCGGCAUGCCUAACACAUGCAAGUCGAACGAGACCUUCGGGUCUAGUGGCGCACGGGUGCGUAACGCGUGGGAACCUGCCCUUAGGUUCGGAAUAACUCCCCGAAAGGGGUGCUAAUACCGGAUAAUGUCUUCGGACCAAAGAUUUAUCGCCUUUGGAUGGGCCCGCGUUGGAUUAGCUAGUUGGUAGGGUAAAAGCCUACCAAGGCGACGAUCCUUAGCUGGUCUGAGAGGAUGAUCAGCCACACUGGGACUGAGACACGGCCCAGACUCCUACGGGAGGCAGCAGUGGGGAAUAUUGGACAAUGGGCGAAAGCCUGAUCCAGCAAUGCCGCGUGAGUGAUGAAGGCCUUAGGGUUGUAAAGCUCUUUUACCCGGGAUGAUAAUGACAGUACCGGGAGAAUAAGCUCCGGCUAACUCCGU
rnacentral:rRNA from 1 species